CACCCCACAAAAAAGACUUCAGAUGUGGAACUUUAAGCAAGUUCAGUCACAGACUUAAAAAGAAACAGCCCGGCCCAUGAGAGCCUGCUUCAGCCAGAACAGCAUGAAAACGGUGAAAAAGAAUCUGCAGAACCAGGUUUCUCCAUGUUCCAGGAAUUUUAUUAUCAGUCUCAGCCUUGCUGUUCUGGGCAGGAAGAAAUGAAAGAAGGAGGAAGGAAGCCACGUCUCCGGAACACUGCCCAUGUGCCCAGCACAGUGACUGCUGUUGUGUAGUCAGCAUCUCAUCGGGGAGGACAGAUUUGAGACUCCACUUUUGCAAUGUCACAGUCUGCCGACUAAACACCAAACCCCGGGUCCCCACAUGCAUGUCAGCUCCACAAGAAGCUUCAUCCUGACAUUGACCCUCCCACCCAUCGGUGCAUCCACCGAGUGUGUCACCAGCAAGAUCAAUCCCACGCUGCUCAGCACCGUUAGAAACCAAGACUAAUAAAUCAUUUGCCCGCUCUCAGCCCACAGAUGGCUCUGAGCUCCCUCUCUGUCCCCAAGCAUGAAUGGGCUGGCUGAUGCUUCUGUCCUUCCACCACUUCAUAAAGAGAACAUCUCUUAAGAGACUGCAAGCGUCCUCCUGCUAGAGGUGAGAGAUAAAAGACCAACCCUCCUCUCAAAUUUCCUCAAAACAUUUUAUUCAUUUGCUGCAGAAGGCGAGUUUCUGGAUGUCAUUCAGAACUGAAAAUUUCAUAUCAGUUAUCAAAAAAAAAAAAAGUUCUCAUAACUUUGCUGGUGGAAAAUGGCCUAUGCCCAAGCAGAAUUCAACCAUAGUUCCUUGGGCCCCUGCAAUUGAAUGUCACCUGCAAACACCGUUAACCCAGGCGAUUCCACAUUCUCCAGAAAUGUAUAAAUAUCGCUUGAUGCCCCAAACAGCCCAUGAGUAGGUUAAUUCAGUCCAUGAGUGAACUAAGUGUGUAAAAAUAAUUCAAUCCAUUGUCUGACAGAACUGAUCCAUUACUGUUCACUGAUUCAACAACUGUUCACUGAGUACCCAUUCCGUGUUAGGGAAUGUGUGAGCCAUUCAGGAUACAGAAAAAAAAUGUUCCAGUUCCAACUAACUUCAAGGAAAUCACAACCAAAAGUUUCACACCUAUGUAGACAGCUUAGGUGAUUUUUUUAAUACAGCAAGAAAAAGUGGAAUUCAUGUAAACAGAUGAAAGGUAUCCCAGAAAAAAAAAAAAUAGCACUAGAAAAAGUACGUUCUCACCCCAGGUAGAAGAAAAAAACUUCUAUAAGUUCAUGCUGCAGAAUUUACCUUGAGCUGUGAAAGAUAUCAAGUGGUGUACUUUAGAAAUCUGCUGAAGCCUACAAAUUAUAUUAAAAGGCAUGGAAGCAAAGUUAAGUGCUUUAGCUUCAGAAGAAAUGCAGUCAGUGCCCUGGAACCAAUUCCCAGGAGAAUGCCGUGGUUCUCACAACCCAGCAAGCUAGUCAACAAGUCCAGGCAGGGACGUGAAUUCACCUCCCAUUCCAGACACUGAUGAAAUAGCACUUCCUGCUACUCUUAAAUAUGUUAAUCCCCAUUUCAAAUAUCUACAAGGCAAGUCUAGAGAGGGAGAUGGCAACUAUUCUUAGAAUGUACUUAUUUUUCUUUAAAUACAGAAAAUAUUCAAAUCCAGUAUAUAUAGACUUACGAUCGCCACAAACUGAUCAACAGUUAGUUGAUUUGCCAAGCUACCUUUACGUGGCUUUUUGAGUCAACCUCAUACAUAGUUUGAAGAAUUUGCUGUGUUUAUAGGUCUAAAACAAUUAUUUUAUAAGCUCCAGUAACAAUUCCUCAAAAUGCUGAAAACCAAACACACACACACACACACAAGCUCCAGCUCCCUAAGGUUUUUUGCUUUGCUUCCUGGGGCCCACAUAGGCAAGAGGGCCAGGAGCUUCAGCUUAAUUAGCACCUUUUUAUACCAAAGCCUCUCAAGGUGAGGUGCAAAAUAUGCAGUAAUCAUUUAACAGCUCAGUCAGCUGUGCCAAGCUAACAGAUGAUAAGGAACAAAAGGAGAAAGACUCCUUCAUUGCAGACGUGCUGAAGGAAAGCUGUGGCAUGUGACCAAAUAACCUUGAGUGUUCGUCACCUGUGUAUUACACAAAUGACCCCACAGAAAGAAAAAAAUGUUAUUAAAAAGCAGCAACGAAAACAAAACAGUAUCAGGCACAAACCAAUGAAAACAUUCUCAUGAAAUGGCUCUCUGGGAAUUUUCUAACAUUUCUUCUUGGUCACCAUCUGAACCCACCUGGGGGAGUACAGGCCAUGAGAAUACACUUGAGAUUCAGCAAAAAUAAUUAAGAGGUUGUAUAAUUGACCAUAUUGCACAUCUCACCUCUGGGGUUGGGGGUCCCCUGGUUCAAGACCCCAAGUGGGAUACAAGGUAACACCCAGUGAGGGCCAUUCUCUCACCUCCCUGACCAUCCAGGUGGAAAUUAAAGAUCCCAGGAUACUUUUCAAAAUAGCACAGGGGAUCACCCAGCUGUCUGGACCAGCAGUCCCCAGUCUCAAUAAAAUCCAACUUAAUGUUCCCGGCUGGGAAUGAGCCCUUCUCAAACAUAGAGAAAGUCUGUACUCAUGGACACAAUUAUGAAACUGUCCUUUGAGCACUGUAAUUACUUUAUAAUUCACAGAGGACUUGAGAUACUUGGAGAGUGAAGGAUGCUAUGAAAAAGUCAAUUCGAUUGUAAUUUAUAAUUGAAUUUAUCCACAGAGAAACAAGUGGUCACUAAAUGAAAGUAUCUUCUAGGGAGCAAAUUUACAGGUGUAGCUUUUACAACUACCAGUGGCUUCGCUCCAAGAAAAUUCAAAUUCCAAAGUGAUAGCUUUCCACAAAAAACAUAACUUCAGAGUUGAGUAUUUGUAUUAAAAAAAAUUCUCACCAAGUAGUAUUUUUGUAGCUCCAUCCCCCACUAGUUUAAUAUAUACUCAAGUUAGGGGAAAUAGACCUAAUGUGUAAAGAAGGUGACCCUAAACAGUUUCCAUCACCUCCUCCUAGUUAAUCUUUAAAUAGCAAUGGUUAGACAUUGUGUGUUUUGUAUACGAAUUAAGAAAGGCUAAACCUACAAACUACAUUCAUCUUAUAUUAAUUGACUACAAAGAAAAUACUGAGAGGUAAUUAUUAAGAAUGUCUUAAAGGGAAACAAAUUAAUAUCAACAUUUUAUGCAGCAAAGCUCAUAUGAACAGUCAUAAAUGACAUUGCUAAAUUUAAACACUGCAUCCAUAAUCCACCUUUCAGCCCAUGAUCUGAAAGAUAUUUGUAAUAUAUGGGCAAGCAGAGUUCUAAGAGAAAAGUGUAAGCAAAGGAUAGGGCAAUGUGUUAUUUUAAAGUAUAUAAAAAUUAUCACUAUAUAAAAGUUAUCCCAAAACUUACCAACUUGAAACAACAUUUACUAUAUCAUAGUUUCUCUGAGUCAAGACUUCAGCAGUGGCCUAGCUGGGACCACAAUCAAGUGUCAGCAGGGCAUGGGGUCCCAUCUCAAGGUUUGACUGAGUAUGGAUCCACCUCCAAGCUUACACACAGAGUUGUUUGCAGGAUUCAGUUCCACACAGGCUGUUGGACUGAGGGCUUCAGUUCCUCCUGGACUGUUGGCCAGAGGCCUCCCUCACUUCCUUCCACAUGGGCCUCUCCAUAGAGCAGCUCACAACAUAGCAGUUGCCUUCCUCAAUGCAAGAAGCGAAAGAAGAAGAUGGUGAAUAAUGGGGAAGGAAGUCAGAGCCUUUCUGUACCCUAAUCCCAGAAUGAUAUCCAUCACAUUUUUAGUAUUCUAUUUGCCAGAAAUGAGUCACUUGGUUCAGUCACUUGGAGGUCAGUGGGGACCAUCUCAGACAGAGGCUGCCUGCCCCAGGUAGGUGCCUGUGUAGUAAAGAAUUAACUCUACCCAAAGAGCAGCAGUCUAGCCUUUGAAUCUCUAAAUCCUUGGAAUUUCCUGAGUGAUAGCAGUGCCUUUGUUAUUCAUGGUGGACUCCUCUUAUGCUGAUGAAGUGACUCAUUGUGGGCCCCUGGAGAGUUUGUGCUCAUAGAUGACUAAGGGUGAAAGCUGGCCACCUUGAAAGCCCAGUGAGAUUAGAGGGUUGGGACAUUCAGUCAGGUAAUCAGCUGGUCAAGGAUUCCAUCAAUCAUGCCUACAUAAUGAAACCCCAAUAAAAACUCUGGACACUGAUAUUUGGUGACUGCUAUGAUCUGAA